CAGCAGCCACGGGAAUACGAAGGGUGCAAGCGUUAAUCGGAAUUACUGGGCGUAAAGCGUGCGUAGGCGGUGAGUUAAGUCUGCUGUGAAAUCCCCGGGCUCAACCUGGGAAUGGCAGUGGAUACUGGCUCGCUAGAGUGUGUCAGAGGAUGGUGGAAUUCCCGGUGUAGCGGUGAAAUGCGUAGAGAUCGGGAGGAACAUCAGUGGCGAAGGCGGCCAUCUGGGACAACACUGACGCUGAGGCACGAAAGCGUGGGGAGCAAACAGGAUUAGAUACCCCCGUAGUCCCUGUCUCUUAUAC
rnacentral:rRNA from 1 species